CCCUUAGAUGUCCUGGGCCGCACGCGCGCUACACUGAACGGAUCAGCGCGUUUUCCCUUCCCGAGAGGGACGGGUAACCUGCUGAACCCCGUUCGUGGUAGGGAUCGGGGCUUGCAAUUAUUCCCCGUGAACCAGGAAUGCCCAGUAAGUGCAAGUCAUAAGCUUGCGUUGAUUACGUCCCUGCCCUUUGUACACACCUCCCGUCGCUACUACCGAUUGAACGUUUUAGUGAGGUACUCGGACUGAGCCUCAGAAGAUUCACGUCUUUUGUGCUGCUCGGGAAGAUUCCCAAACUUGAGCGUUUAGAGGAAGUAAAAGUCGUAACA
rnacentral:rRNA from 1 species